rnacentral:rRNA from 1 species
UACAGAGACUGCAAGCGUUAUUCGGAUUCACUGGGCGUAAAGGGUGCGCAGGCGGCCAUGUGUGUCAGGUGUGAAAGCCCGAGGCUCAACCUCGGAAUUGCGCCUGAAACUACAUGGCUAGAGUACUGGAGAGGGUAGCGGAAUUCAUGGUGUAGCAGUGAAAUGCGUAGAGAUCAUGAGGAAGACCAGUGGCGAAGGCGGGUCUCUGGACAGUUCCUGACACUGAGACACGAAGGCCAGGGGAGCAAACGGG